AGAGCGAACGCUGGCGGCAGGCCUAACACAUGCAAGUCGAGCGCCCCGCAAGGGGAGCGGCAGACGGGAGAGUAACACGUGGGAACGUACCCUUCAGUUCGGAACAACCCAGGGAAACUUGGGCUAAUACCGAAUACGUCCGUAAGGAGAAAGAUUUAUCGCUGAAGGAUCGGCCCGCGUCUGAUUAGCUAGUUGGUGAGGUAACGGCUCACCAAGGCGACGAUCAGUAGCUGGUCUGAGAGGAUGAUCAGCCUCACUGGGACUGAGACACGGCCCAGACUCCUACGGGAGGCAGCAGUGGGGAAUAUUGGACAAUGGGCGCAAGCCUGAUCCAGCCAUGCCGCGUGGAUGAUGAAGGCCCUAGGUUGUAAAGUCUUUCGGCGGGGAAGAUAAGUGACGGUACCCGCAAGAAGAACGCCCCGGACUAACCUCGUGCUAGCAGCCGCGGU
rnacentral:rRNA from 1 species